rnacentral:rRNA from 1 species
UACGUAGGGUGCGAGCGUUGUCCGGAAUUAUUGGGCGUAAAGAGCUCGUAGGCGGCCUGUCGCGUCUGCUGUGAAAACUCAGGGCUUAACCCUGAGCUUGCAGUGGGUACGGGCAGACUAGAGUGCGGUAGGGGAGACUGGAAUUCCUGGUGUAGCGGUGAAAUGCGCAGAUAUCCGGAGGAACACCGGUGGCGAAGGCGGCUUCCUGGACCGACACUGACGCUGAGGCGCGAAAGCUAGGGGAGCAAACGGG